UACGGAAGGCAGCAGUGGGGAAUAUUGCACAAUGGGCGCAAGCCUGAUGCAGCCAUGCCGCGUGUAUGAAGAAGGCCUUCGGGUUGUAAAGUACUUUCAGUCGUGAGGAGGGUGUUAAGGUUAAUAACCUUAGCAAUUGACGUUAGCGACAGAAGAAGCACCGGCUAACUCCGUGCCAGCAGCCGCGGUAAUACGGAGGGUGCGAGCGUUAAUCGGAAUUACUGGGCGUAAAGGGCACGCAGGCGGUUAAUUAAGUUGGAUGUGAAAUCCCCGGGCUUAACCUGGGAAUGGCAUUCAAGACUGGUUAGCUAGAGUCUUGUAGAGGGGGUAGAAUUCCAUGUGUAGCGGUGAAAUGCGUAGAGAUGUGGAGGAAUACCGGUGGCGAAGGCGGCCCCUGGGACAAGACUGACGCUCAUGUGCGAAAGCGUGGGGAGCAAACAGGGAUUAGAUACC
rnacentral:rRNA from 1 species